rnacentral:lncRNA from 1 species
CUUCAUGGCAGCUGUUGAAUGAAAUGUUCUCAAAUUGAAGAUUGCCUCUUUGGUGGACUUGUCUAAAAUCGAUAGAGAUGACUUACUUACACAGAUCAAAAAUGUGCUUAUAUCCAAAGGACUGCCCCAAGACAUGAUCAUACGACUCAUAAGCAGCAAACCACAGAUUGGUGCAAUUGCAGCGCCCUCUACUGGCACAACAUGAACAUCUACUGACAACUUCUGGAACAUUUUCAUUUCGUCUGCUGAAUGAAGUUUUGUCUUCAGUGUUCUUUAAAUAACUUAAAAGUAGAUUUUUAAAAGCAAAAUGUUAGCCUGACUUUUCAUUGCUAUAAUCUAAAAUUAAUUAAUUUGUACUUUUGUUUGUGAUGAUUAAAUGUUAUUUUUUACUAUCGUCCUUUUAUUUUAUUCAAGUCGUAUAGUUCAAAUAUUUUUUGUUAUUCAUGUUAAUAAUGUUUAAAUUCUCUUUUUAUUCUCUUCACUAUGCGCAUUAUACUUUC